rnacentral:rRNA from 1 species
UACGUAGGGGGCAAGCGUUGUCCGGAUUUAUUGGGCGUAAAGAGCGUGUAGGCGGCCAUGUAGGUCCGUUGUGAAAACUCGAGGCUCAACCUCGAGACGCCGAUGGAAACCAUGUGGCUAGAGUCCGGAAGAGGAGAGUGGAAUUCCUGGUGUAGCGGUGAAAUGCGCAGAUAUCAGGAAGAACACCCAUGGCUAAGGCGGCUCUCUAGUACGGUACUGACGCUGAGACGCGAAAGCGUGGGGAGCGAACAGG